GAUGAACGCUGGCGGCGUGCCUAAUACAUGCAAGUCGAGCGAACAGACGAGGAGCUUGCUCCUCUGACGUUAGCGGCGGACGGGUGAGUAACACGUGGAUAACCUACCUAUAAGACUGGGAUAACUUCGGGAAACCGGAGCUAAUACCGGAUAAUAUAUUGAACCGCAUGGUUCAAUAGUGAAAGUCGGUUUUGCUGUCACUUCUAGAUGGAUCCGCGCCGCAUUAGCUAGUUGGUAAGGUAACGGCUUACCAAGGCAACGAUGCGUAGCCGACCUGAGAGGGUGAUCGGCCACACUGGAACUGAGACACGGUCCAGACUCCUACGGGAGGCAGCAGUAGGGAAUCUGCCGCAAUGGGCGAAAGCCUGACGGAGCAACGCCGCGUGAGUGAUGAAGGUCUUCGGAUCGUAAAACUCUGUUAUUAGGGAAGAACAAAUGUGUAAGUAACUAUGCACGUCUUGACGGUACCUAAUCAGAAAGCCACGGCUAACUACGUG
rnacentral:rRNA from 1 species